AUUGAACGCUGGCGGCAGGCCUAACACAUGCAAGUCGAGCGGAUGAGUGGAGCUUGCUCCAUGAUUCAGCGGCGGACGGGUGAGUAAUGCCUAGGAAUCUGCCUGGUAGUGGGGGACAACGUUUCGAAAGGAACGCUAAUACCGCAUACGUCCUACGGGAGAAAGCAGGGGACCUUCGGGCCUUGCGCUAUCAGAUGAGCCUAGGUCGGAUUAGCUAGUAGGCGAGGUAAUGGCUCACCUAGGCGACGAUCCGUAACUGGUCUGAGAGGAUGAUCAGUCACACUGGAACUGAGACACGGUCCAGACUCCUACGGGAGGCAGCAGUGGGGAAUAUUGGACAAUGGGCGAAAGCCUGAUCCAGCCAUGCCGCGUGUGUGAAGAAGGUCUUCGGAUUGUAAAGCACUUUAAUUUGGGAGGAAGGGCAGUAAGUUAAUACCUUACUGUUUUGACGUUACCAACAGAAUAAGCACCGGCUAACUUCGUGCCAGCAGCCGCGGUAAGAC
rnacentral:rRNA from 1 species